rnacentral:rRNA from 1 species
CCUACGGGAGGCAGCAGUGGGGAAUAUUGGACAAUGGGCGAAAGCCUGAUCCAGCCAUGCCGCGUGUGUGAAGAAGGUCUUCGGAUUGUAAAGCACUUUAAGUUGGGAGGAAGGGCAUUAACCUAAUACGUUAGUGUUUUGACGUUACCGACAGAAUAAGCACCGGCUAACUCUGUGCCAGCAGCCGCGGUAAUACAGAGGGUGCAAGCGUUAAUCGGAAUUACUGGGCGUAAAGCGCGCGUAGGUGGUUUGUUAAGUUGGAUGUGAAAUCCCCGGGCUCAACCUGGGAACUGCAUUCAAAACUGACUGACUAGAGUAUGGUAGAGGGUGGUGGAAUUUCCUGUGUAGCGGUGAAAUGCGUAGAUAUAGGAAGGAACACCAGUGGCGAAGGCGACCACCUGGACUAAUACUGACACUGAGGUGCAAAAGCGUGGGGAGCAAACAGGAUUAGAUACCCUGGUAGUCCACGCCGUAAACGAUGUCAACUAGCCGUUGGGAGCUGNGCUCUUGUGGCGCGAGCUACGCGAUUAGUUGACCGCCGUGGGGAGGACGGCCGGCGUAAGUUAAACGUUACGAAGUAAGUUAGUUACGGCGNGNGACGNGCGACGGACGACGACGAGGGAGGAGG